GUUCCCGUGGUCUAGUUUGGUUAUGACGUCGCCUUAACACGGCGAAGGUCUCGGUUCGAAGCCCGAACGGGAAUA